AUAUGAUCUGGCUGCAACAUCUGUCACCCCAUUGAUCGCCAAGGUUGACUUGGCUGAUCUGGCUGGAUAAGCAGGUGUCCUCUUCCUCCCUCACCCAUCCAUGUGCAUCCCUCCCAAAGCUACAUGCUCAGUGGAUGAGGACAACCAUCCCCAAUAGAUGACCAUUUCCUCAGUCAAGGGUAUACAAGUAUGCUUUCCCCUACUAGAUCCUCCAAACAAGCUCUCAAAAAGUCAUAUGCACCAAUACUGCCUGUACACGAAAUAAAAACUACAUAAGGUACUUGAAUAUCUCUUAUAUGAA
rfam:Fukomys damarensis contig73250, whole genome shotgun sequence.